UCCUGACUGACCGAUAGUGAACCAGUACCGUGAGGGAAAGGCGAAAAGAACCCCGGCGAGGGGAGUGAAAAAGAACCUGAAACCGUGUACGUACAAGCAGUGGGAGCACGCUUAGGCGUGUGACUGCGUACCUUUUGUAUAAUGGGUCAGCGACUUAUAUUCUGUAGCAAGGUUAACCGAAUAGGGGAGCCGAAGGGAAACCGAGUCUUAACUGGGCGUUAAGUUGCAGGGUAUAGACCCGAAACCCGGUGAUCUAGCCAUGGGCAGGUUGAAGGUUGGGUAACACUAACUGGAGGACCGAACCGACUAAUGUUGAAAAAUUAGCGGAUGACUUGUGGCUGGGGGUGAAAGGCCAAUCAAACCGGGAGAUAGCUGGUUCUCCCCGAAAGCUAUUUAGGUAGCGCCUCGUGAAUUCAUCUCCGGGGGUAGAGCACUGUUUCGGCAAGGGGGUCAUCCCGACUUACCAACCCGAUGCAAACUGCGAAUACCGGAGAAUGUUAUCACGGGAGACACACGGCGGGUGCUAACGUCCGUCGUGAAGAGGGAAACAACCCAGACCGCCAGCUAAGGUCCCAAAGUCAUGGUUAAGUGGGAAACGAUGUGGGAAGGCCCAGACAGCCAGGAUGUUGGCUUAGAAGCAGCCAUCAUUUAAAGAAAGCGUAAUAGCUCACUGGUCGAGUCGGCCUGCGCGGAAGAUGUAACGGGGCUAAACCAUGCACCGAAGCUGCGGCAGCGACGCUUAUGCGUUGUUGGGUAGGGGAGCGUUCUGUAAGCCUGCGAAGGUGUGCUGUGAGGCAUGCUGGAGGUAUCAGAAGUGCGAAUGCUGACAUAAGUAACGAUAAAGCGGGUGAAAAGCCCGCUCGCCGGAAGACCAAGGGUUCCUGUCCAACGUUAAUCGGGGCAGGGUGAGUCGACCCCUAAGGCGAGGCCGAAAGGCGUAGUCGAUGGGAAACAGGUUAAUAUUCCUGUACUUGGUGUUACUGCGAAGGGGGGACGGAGAAGGCUAUGUUGGCCGGGCGACGGUUGUCCCGGUUUAAGCGUGUAGGCUGGUUUUCCAGGCAAAUCCGGAAAAUCAAGGCUGAGGCGUGAUGACGAGGCACUACGGUGCUGAAGCAACAAAUGCCCUGCUUCCAGGAAAAGCCUCUAAGCAUCAGGUAACAUCAAAUCGUACCCCAAACCGACACAGGUGGUCAGGUAGAGAAUACCAAGGCGCUUGAGAGAACUCGGGUGAAGGAACUAGGCAAAAUGGUGCCGUAACUUCGGGAGAAGGCACGCUGAUAUGUAGGUGAAGUCCCUUGCGGAUGGAGCUGAAAUCAGUCGAAGAUACCAGCUGGCUGCAACUGUUUAUUAAAAACACAGCACUGUGCAAACACGAAAGUGGACGUAUACGGUGUGACGCCUGCCCGGUGCCGGAAGGUUAAUUGAUGGGGUCAGCGCAAGCGAAGCUCUUGAUCGAAGCCCCGGUAAACGGCGGCCGUAACUAUAACGGUCCUAAGGUAGCGAAAUUCCUUGUCGGGUAAGUUCCGACCUGCACGAAUGGCGUAAUGAUGGCCAGGCUGUCUCCACCCGAGACUCAGUGAAAUUGAACUCGCUGUGAAGAUGCAGUGUACCCGCGGCAAGACGGAAAGACCCCGUGAACCUUUACUAUAGCUUGACACUGAACAUUGAGCCUUGAUGUGUAGGAUAGGUGGGAGGCUUUGAAGUGUGGACGCCAGUCUGCAUGGAGCCGGCCUUGAAAUACCACCCUUUAAUGUUUGAUGUUCUAACGUGGACCCGUGAUCCGGGUUGCGGACAGUGUCUGGUGGGUAGUUUGACUGGGGCGGUCUCCUCCUAAAGAGUAACGGAGGAGCACGAAGGUUGGCUAAUCCUGGUCGGACAUCAGGAGGUUAGUGCAAUGGCAUAAGCCAGCUUGACUGCGAGCGUGACGGCGCGAGCAGGUGCGAAAGCAGGUCAUAGUGAUCCGGUGGUUCUGAAUGGAAGGGCCAUCGCUCAACGGAUAAAAGGUACUCCGGGGAUAACAGGCUGAUACCGCCCAAGAGUUCAUAUCGACGGCGGUGUUUGGCACCUC
rnacentral:rRNA from 1 species